rnacentral:rRNA from 1 species
UACGUAGGGGGCAAGCGUUGUCCGGAAUCAUUGGGCGUAAAGAGCGUGUAGGCGGCUUGGCAAGUCUGACGUGAAAGCCCGCGGCUCAACCGCGGAUUGUCGUUGGAAACUGCCUCGCUAGAGCCGGAAGAGGAGAGCGGAAUUCCUGGUGUAGCGGUGGAAUGCGCAGAUAUCAGGAAGAACACCCGUGGCGAAGGCGGCUCUCUGGGACGGUACUGACGGCUGAGACGCGAAAGCGUGGGGAGCGAACAG